GAGAAUUUGUUCCAUAUUUGGACCGUCAAAAUGUGAUUUAUGAUUUCACAAUUCUAACAUAUAAAAACUUAUUGCGUAAUCAAAAUUCUUCACAAAAUAUUUAUCAACCAUGAGAGAUUUUGACAUAGCGAUUUUGAAACUUAAUGAGACCAUGCAAAUUAGUAGAAAACACCUUAAUGAGAUAACAAAUUUUCUAUUUCUCUGAAUGUUUGCAUUGGGGUAGUAUAUGCACACGGAACCGUAUCUUUGUGAUUUAAUUCAAUGUAUCUUUGUCAAAUAUGUUUUGUGUUGAAAGAUCCAGUCUUACCGAGAAAUAGAAGUUACUUGUUACACUGACAUUUCCCUAUAUCCAUAUUUAGACAUUUGAUGUCAAGGCGAAUUCCAGUUUAGCAACAUCUGCACCUCUUGGACUGUGAGGGUUAAACUUGAAAGGGGUGCUUCCCUCUUUGGGUGAAGAAUUUAAUGUGCAGUUCAUGGCUACGGUCAAAUUUAUAUGAAGGUUCAAGCUGGAUUUACCAUCUCUGAACCACGGGAAGCAUGUCUGAGGACGCUCUUGGUGUGGACUUUUCUCGAUAUUUUGGUGUUAUGUCAAAGCCAUGUGGACUUUCCCUCAGCAUGGGACAAAUGCUGAAGUAACGUAGCUGCCUGUUACAUGCAAACAGAAACGCUACGAACAUGGGCGAAAAAGCAGAAGCAACGUCAUGGUGCACAAAAUGGCUUCCAAUCAAUAUUCAGUUUCUCAGGCGAUCCAUGUCGCUGAAUCCUCCCUCGGUUAGCCUCAUCAAUGUUGUCGUAGCCGGAUCUUUGAUGCUUCCACGUAAGUGUUUGGUUUAUAAUUGACUGACCUAUUCUGUUUGCAUCUUUAUGAUGUGAACUGAAAGUUUACUGAUAUGUGCACAACUUGUGUUUCCUGGAUUAAUGGAUUGCUUAUAAAGAGUCUCCCGAAAAUUAGUGAUCUGCUCCAUCCUGCUUUGCUGAUGUGCAUUUUCUAUAUAUCAGCUGGAGG